UACGUAGGGGCAAGCGUUGUCCGGAAUCAUUGGGCGUAAAGAGCGUGUAGGCGGCCCGAUAAGUCCGCUGUGAAAGUCCAGGGCUCAACCCUGGGAUGCCGGUGGAUACUGUCGGGCUCGAGUCCGGAAGAGGAGUGUGGAAUUCCGUGGUGUAGCGGUGAAAUGCGCAGAUAUCGGGAGGAACACCAGUAGCGAAGGCGGCUCGCUGGGCCACACCUGACGCUGAGACGCGAAAGCUAGGGGAGCGAACGAG
rnacentral:rRNA from 1 species